rnacentral:rRNA from 1 species
UACGUAGGGACCAAGCGUUGUUCGGAUUUACUGGGCGUAAAGGGCGCGUAGGCGGCAUGACAAGUCACUUGUGAAGUCUUCGGGCUUAACCCGGAACGGCCAAGUGAUACUGUCAUGCUAGAGUGCAGAAGGGGCAAUCGGAAUUCUCGGUGUAGCGGUGAAAUGCGUAGAUAUCGAGAGGAACACCUGAGGUGAAGACGGGUUGCUGGGCUGACACUGACGCUGAGGCGCGAAAGCCAGGGGAGCAAACGGG